rnacentral:rRNA from 11 species
CGGCAACGGAUAUCUCGGCUCUCGCAUCGAUGAAGAACGUAGCGAAAUGCGAUACUUGGUGUGAAUUGCAGAAUCCCGUGAACCAUCGAGUCUUUGAACGCAAGUUGCGCCCGAAGCCAUUUGGUCGAGGGCACGUCUGCCUGGGCGUCACGC